ensembl:snRNA LOC120098731 U2 spliceosomal RNA
AUCGCUUCUCGGCCUUUUGGCUAAGAUCAAGUGUAGUAACUCAGGUCAUCAGGUUUGCUUGGUGGGGUGACAAGGGCUUUUGCCCCCUGAGCUCUCUCAGCAACCCUGUGAUGCUAUUCUUGACGGUGUGCGAUUAAUCU